rnacentral:lncRNA from 1 species
CGUCCUAUAUAGUGCAGUUCUAUCAAGAGCAGUAUUACUCACUAUAACAGCCAACCAUUUUAUUAUUUUCAAAGAAGAUGUUAAAGAAAAAUCGUAUCAACUUUCUUUCACUCUUGUUUUCUUUCUUCUUAAUCUUUACUAGUUUCAUUCAACUUGGAACACCCGCAAGGACCACAACCCUUGAGUUCCAGACCAGUGGCAAAUCCAAACUACUUGGUAAGUGCUUCAUAAUCUUUCUUUUUUACUUCUCAUUCAUUCUACAUGAUCAGAAAAAAUAAAGGUCAUUCCAGCUUUUCUUUGGGUUGAGACUUUUUAUCGAUGUUUAUGUCUUUUUCCUCGUGCCUUUUAUCUGAUUGUAGAAGAAUCAUGGAAUACUGAUGGCUAUGUUUGUGGAUACAAUUCGCCAUAUGCUUGCAACCUAAAAAUCCUCAUUUUUGUAGUAAUUAGUCUAAAACUUUAAACUCUAACCCUAAAAAAAUGAGAUUUGUUCUUACUCUUGUACAUCUCACCUUACAUCAAGUUGUUGCAUCUCAAAGGUUAUUAUAUGUCAAUGUUUACAAUUUGAGCUUUUUAUAAAUCAAAAAUUUCGAACGGAUUGUAAUAUAAGUUGAUGAAUCAAAGCGUUCAUUCUUUUACAAUUCAAACUUUUUACUUUCUUGUAUUAUUAAUAAACUUAAGUGAUUGUUUUAAUUUUUUUAUAACGCAUGGCAAUUGAAUUUGAUAUAUUCAUUGCUUGCACUGUGUUGUACCUUUUUGUUAUUGUGGGUUCGUCAUUCUCCUUUUAAAUAUUUAUUUUUCAUUUUUUAUACAAAAAAAGCGAGUUCAAUACGUGGACUAUAAUUUUAUGAUAUUAUAUUGGCUAUAUAUUUAAUUAUAAUUUUUUAUACCAGUUAAUUUUACAAGUAGAAGAAUUCAAGCAUUGUUCAUGAUUAAAUUAUAUGCCUAGUAUGCAUCUCUUAGAGAUCGAAUAAGAUUUAUUAAGAAAAGUAAUUUUUUCUCAAAUUAUAAUUUCAUUUUUUUAUUUCUUUAUUUUCUCCUAUUUUGGUGACUUUUAGUAUCUAACAUUUUGCUUUUUGAAAAUUUUUUUAACUCGAUUUUCUCCAUUGCACAUAUAUUUUUUGAGCAGCAGCGUAUUAGUUAUAUGUACCAAAAGAGUCUAUGUGAAAUAUUUAUUAAAUAAAUGUCUAUAAAAAUGUUUGGAUAAUACCGAAAUUGAAUCGAAAUGGACUGUUAAGGGUUGGAUUUGGUUUCAAUAUGUGCAAAGACUCGAAUGGUUCCAUUUGCGAAGUACCUGAAGCAUAAUAGAUGGUUCUCGGUAUUGAAAUGCUAGGACCGACCCACCCGAUGCCCAGACCUAAGAUAAGGUGAGCAUUGUGUUGAGUAUAAAAAUGAAAUUCCUCUUCUAGUAAAAAUGAUUUACAGCGGUGUGUUCAGGAAAAGUUUCAUCUUUCCAUUAAUCAAAAAGAUUUGCAACAGUUAUGAUUUUAUAUUUUUGUUGGACCUCAAAGAAUUAAAAAAAAAUUAUUAUCUUAUGCAUUUAGUGGGGUUAUUAAUUUAGUAUGCUAGCUUAAGUUGGGACCAAAGAAUUUUAUUAUUUAAGCGAGAUUAUUCAUUUAUCAAACAUUCAUUUAUUGAGAUAUUACUAUAGUAGUAGGCAACGCAUGUGCCCAGGUGAAACCUUCUAUAAUAUUGGUCCCUAGGUCAUCAACUGCUUCCCGAAAGUGAGGUCCCAUUUUGACCUGAUAAUUCUUGAUAUGGCUAAUGAUUUCUCACUUGAUGGAUACGUCCCAUAUACCCUUUUUUUAUUAGCACAAUAUAAAUCAUGCACCAAUUUAUCCAACAACCGUAACGUUAAGGGCAACCACAAGCUGAUAGUUAUGAGUACUCAAGUCAGGGCUACAAACCAAUAUUAUCAAAAUGUACAAAGACAUUUUUCUUAGCUAAUCCUUAAACACCGUCAUCAGCUUUUGUAAAGUAGCAAGCGCAUUGGUAAAGCUAAAGGGCAUUACCUUGAACUCAUAGAGGCCUUCUGUGUCUUAAAAGCAGUCGUGUGGACAUCCUUGCAGGUUAUCUGUUAGUGUAAACAUUUCAAGUGUACAAUGUCAAAUAAUAAGUAGUAAAGUGGACCUAAAGAGUCCGAAUUAUCAUUCCACAUAGACUAUUACUCAAUUAUUGGCUUGACUACUCCUAACUUCUAGCUAUUUGAGUGAAAACAAUAGUCAAUGGUUUGUGAUUAUUAAUGCAAAAAUUACGAAACUACGAAAAUAAUUAAGAAGUGUGCAAAUCGACUAUUUGAAUUUUAAUUUAUGUGCACCUAGUGUUAAGGUUCAUGAGUUUACCAUAGUUAUCACUCUAAUCCUAAUCACCAAAUUUCUAUAACAAUUAAUUCUAUAUAUGAGAUCAAAUUCUCGAAAUUAAUUGAAUUACACCUCUCGAAUUCAAACAAAUCAUACUUAAUUAAGUCAACCGACUAUAUCUCUGUUUAAAUCUGAAUUGUUUCUUAAUUAAGAACAUUCAAUUACAAAGGAAUUCAAUUGAAGACCAAAAUAUUAGUAAAAGUGUAUCAUCGUUGUAUCCAAAUUUUGAUUUUUACUACAUGGUUUAAACUACUCACAUCUCAACUCUUUACUAUUCACAAAUCAAUGAAACAGUGACUAAUUAUUUUCAAAGCAUAAAAAUACAAAUAAAAUGAGAUAUACAAAUAUCAAUUGAAACUUAAAAUUUAAUAACUUAAAUCAAAGGUUCAAACUAUGCUACAUCGUUCAUCAUAACUAGAGAAUUUAGUUACUUAUAAUAAUUGGAAAGCACAUUGAAUUUUAAAUAGAACAUCGAGUUUGGACUUUAUCUUUGUAGAGGAGAAAGGAAAUUAUUGCAAAAAGAAAUCCGUCUUCGAACUCCAAUGAAGCCAAAUCCGUGUCUUGAAUGCUAUUUUUCUCCCAAAAAGUCUUUGCUAUGGAAUGUUAAGAAAUAAUCCUUUCUUGACCUAAUUUAGCCCCUUAUAUAGUCCUUGAGGCAUAAAAAACCAUGCCAAGAAAAAUACCCAACGUUCCCCUAUUUAAAAAUCAGAAAAUAAAUAAACCAUCGUACUCGGGCUUCGGAAUGUCCUUCCCUGGUCCUCAAACUUGUGCACAUGAUCAAAUUGAUCCCUCAUCUUCCAAGAAGCAGGUUCCCUAGUCUAGGUUACUGUAUUCAGUCCUUCCACUCAAAAUUGUCCAAUUAAGCUCUGAUUGACCUUUUUGCACAAUCCACCUCAGAGUCAGGUGUUAUACCUAUAAUCAUAAUAUACACACAACUUUGAGUAGAAAUUCGAUCAAUAAAUCAAUAUUCUUAGAGUUCAGAAACCUAAUUAAGGUUUAAGGGUGAAAAUACAUUUACCAUACUUGCUCUUUCGUAGUCUCGAACAAAACUAUAUACUCAGUUUUUGUAACAUACAAGCAUGGAAAAAUAUAAAGACUCACUUGGUUAGAUAGUAAGCCAUUUUUGACUCACGCUUAAAACUACUAAGUUAAACUUCAACAAACUUCAAAAAAAAAAUGUUACUAAAAUAAUUAACUUACCUUACGCUUGGCCGGUGUAUAGGUGUAAAUAUCCAAAUUUUAUCAUCACCUAGAAAUAGUCAAGAUUGCAUAAAAGAAAUUUUUUUCAAGUUGGCUCAAUCCUAACCCUCAAUGAUAAAUUUAUAUUAUUUUCCCUCUCGCAAGAUGCAUACACUUUUAAACUAGAUAUUUAUUAUCUUUCUCGAUAUUUUGUUUCUAAAUGUUUCUCUUAAUCGACUUUUUGCUUUUUCCACUCAAGUCUGAUAAGAAUAAACUAAUAAAAGACUAGGCACAUGAACAUUCUUCUUUAUUUUCAAAUAUCUCACUCUUCAAGUUUCCGCUAAGCAAGUCAAAACCACAACUUAUCUACCUUUCAAUAUUUGAUGUCCAAGGCAUAGCCACGAUAUGCACGUCUUCUAUUUCAUGAACAUAUUUUUUAUUCUUAUUCUUAUUCAUUUUUUUUUCUUUCUCAUUUGUAGGUAGAUAUUUUGCACAGACAUUUGUGAUAAUGCUACGCCAUAUCUUCCCACUGUUCUCUUCAUUUUUAUGUUCUUAUUAUGUAAUGAUUAGUGCAAUAUCCUUUUUAGGACUAGGAGUUAGGAUUAGAUACUUAGCAUAUGUUCAAUACCUAACUUCCACCUAUUAGUCAAAAUUACUCCAUACAUCUAUAGUACACACAGAAUCAAGAACACGCCUAUUCAUUUCAACCAACAACUUAAAGUUUGAACCAUACUUACCCCAUAAAUGAUUAUUAAAGAAAGAGGAAUCGAAGAAGUUUCAAAUGAAUAUAGUUGAAUCAAUUGGAUGAAAUGGAGAAGUGCUAUAGGAAUUUAGAGUGAUAGGAUGAUCAUUUUGAAAUACCAAUUUUACAAAAUAUAUAUAUAUGAUGAUCAUUUUUAAAUACCAAUUUUACAAAAAAAAAANNNNNNNNNNNNNNNNAAUUAGGACAUUCAAUAGAAAAAAAAAAAAAAUAAUAAUAAGAUACAAGCCAACAAUUAGAGGUGAUAGUCACGAGUUCAUGGGUCAACCCGUCCAUUCCAGAUCGUUUUUUCGACUAUGUGCUAUAUGGAUUAAAAAUAAAUUAAGAGAAUGACGGACUAAAUGGUUGGAGUGCUAUAAAGAGGCUCUCGUUCAUAAUUUUUAUGUGAUCUCAGUAGAAGUGGCCAAAAGACGAGAUUUAAAUUUGAAUAGGAUUCUACAAUACUCAUAAGAUUUUAAUGGAACCAAAUUUUAGUGGAUUCAAUCAACAAGGUCAAAAUAUAGCUUUGUUUCUAUCUCAUCGUAUCACAUUCUGUUCUGUGAGAUUUGAGAAUCACCGUUAAUACCUCGGUGUAGGUCCGGGAUAAUCCUUUGUUCCAUAGCCCUGGGGCCAAAAAUUAGGAUACAUUUUGGGAAAAUCAGACUUCCAUCAAAGAGAAGCAAAUGAAAGGCUUUCAUAAAAAUUCUUGUAGAAUUGAGAAUGAAGUUUGUGGUUACAUGGGGCGAGAAGAGGAAAGAGAGGGAUGGGGUUUCUCUCGCUUUUGGCAUAACAGGCCUCCCAAUUUGUGUAGCUAUUGGUCAAAAAACAUCUCGUGUAAUAAUUAUAUAAAUACAAGCAAAUUUGUAACCUUAUUGUUUAUUGUAGAAAAUUCAUUACUUCGUCAUUUGAAAGACAUAAUUUCAUGCAUCUACAUACUCAAGCAAAUUUAUUUAACAAUUAAAAACAAGUCCAAACAAAAUUAUAAUCUACAAAACAAACAAAAUAAAAUCAAAAAAACUAAAAAAAAGCAUUAUAGUGUAAAGAAAUAUAUAAUUAAAUGCGCCAAAUGUUAUUUAAUUGAAGACAUGUUUAGUUGGUGAAUAAUGUUCCAAAACCAAAAUUAACUAAUUCAAUUUUCCUUCCGAGCAGUUCAGAAUAAAAAUUUCAUUGAAAUUAUUAUACUAACUAUAUUAUAAUAUGACAAUUUAACUAAUUGUAAAUGGAAGUUUGGAGAAAAGAAAUUGAUUAAUAAAAGAAUUUCAGGAUGUGACUCCAUUGUUAGUAUUCUUUAUUAUCGUAUUCUCACUUUUAUUCUAGUUUACGCUUUGAUUGACUAUCAAUAAUCCAAUAUUAAUUAACAAUGUCUUCCAAGUAGAGUUAAACCUAUUUUCAUGUAUGACCUGAGAUAUCCAUAUUCAAAUUCGAAUAUGGAUAAAUGAAUUAAAUAGCAAUAUUACUUACAAGGAUUGCGCAAAGCAUAGAUAAUAUUCCUAACGUGUAUAGGACUUUAUGUUGAUGGUCAUUUAUGAGCAAUACCUUCUUUGAAACUCCUGCAAGCAAAAUAAGCCACAAACAUGAUUAAAGGUUCAAAUGUUAAUUAAAGCAUUGACAUCAAUCAAUUAAACAAAAUUUGAGAAGUAAAAGAAGAAUAUUUGAUUUAAAAUAUCAACUUAUAAUGGUUUAGAUCAUCAUUCCCAAGCACACUGAAUUUAGCUAACAUGUUCAUAUUGCCAAAAUAUAUAAUGAAUUAUUAAUUCUUUUCCUGGAAUACCAAAUUGCACAAAGGAGGUUAAAUGAAUUUUCUCCCCCUUGAACGUUUUCAACAGACAAUACAACAAAAAUGUGAUUUCGCAAUAAGAUUUUUUACGAUAUAAAAAAAGUUAUCUCAAUAAAUGAUUUACGGCGACGAGUUUUUAAUGUAUUUUGCAAAGGUUAUGGUUAAAAAAAUAAAUACAAAAACGAUAAUACGAUAUAAAAAGUUGUAAAGAUUGUUGCAGAAAACAUAAUGGAAGCAUGGUUAAAUUCUAGGGGCUUAGGAAAAAUUUCGACAACACCUGGUAGAAAUGAAUCCUUAAACUUAAGAACUUCUUGGUCUCCAUAGCGCUUUUGUUGUACAUGUGCUCACUAUAUGCCUCAACAACUGCUUUAAGCCCGAUAACACGACACCUAUAUUUAUCAUUACUCUAGCUAGCUUGUGGAGAGGUUGAAAAAAAAAAAAAAAUUUUGACAUCAACAUUUGUCGCCUAUUAUUCUUUGUGAUGAAUAACAUAUUAAAAUUCAGAUUUUUAUAUAAGUUAAGGUCAAUAUUAAUUUUGACUACACAUUUAAUGAGAUCUAUAACUUUUGAACCACACAUUUUAUUAAAUUUUAUCAAAAUCUACUAAAAAUCUUAUUUUAUUUAUCACCAAAUAGGGCCUUAAUAUUGAUUAUUUGGAGUGAAAAUGACCAAAUCUGAACAAAAACUUGAAGAGGUACCAAAUCACAAAUGAUGAUGCAAUUCAAAGGUGGGGGACCAAGGGCUAUUCAGGGCAUACUCAGAAAGAUUACAGAUAA